GAUGAACGCUGGCGGCAUGCCUAAUACAUGCAAGUCGAGCGAACGGACGAGAAGCUUGCUUCUCUGAUGUUAGCGGCGGACGGGUGAGUAACACGUGGAUAACCUACCUAUAAGACUGGGAUAACUUCGGGAAACCGUAGCUAAUACCGGAUAAUAUUUUGAACCGCAUGGUUCAAAAGUGAAAGACGGUCUUGCUGUCACUUAUAGAUGGAUCCGCGCUGCAUUAGAUAGUUGGUAAGGUAACGGCUUACCAAGGCAACGAUGCAUAGCCGACCUGAGAGGGUGAUCGGCCACACUGGAACUGAGACACGGUCCAGACUCCUACGGGAGGCAGCAGUAGGGAAUCUUCCGCAAUGGGCGAAAGCCUGACGGAGCAACGCCGCGUGAGUGAUGAAGGUCUUCGGAUCGUAAAACUCUGUUAUUAGGGAAGAACAUAUGUGUAAGUAACUGUGCACAUCUUGACGGUACCUAAUCAGAAAGCCACGGCUAACUACGUG
rnacentral:rRNA from 1 species